CGCAGGCGGCCAGGUCAGUCGAAUGUGAAAGCCCCCGGCUCAACUGGGGAGGGUCGUUCGAUACUGCCUGGCUCGAAGAUAGGAGAGGGAAGUGGAAUUUCAGGUGUAGUGGUGAGAUGCGUAGAUAUCUGAAGGAACACCAGUGGCGAAGGCGACUUUCUGGCCUAUUCUUGACGCUGAGGCGCGAAAGCUAGGGGAGCGAACG
rnacentral:rRNA from 1 species